GAUGAACGCUAGCGAUAGGCUUAACACAUGCAAGUCGAGGGGCAGCAUGGUCUUAGCUUGCUAAGACUGAUGGCGACCGGCGCACGGGUGCGUACGCGUAUGCAACUUGCCUCACAGAGGGGGACAACCCGUCGAAAGACGGACUAAUACCGCGUACACUCCAUCUUGGGCAUCCAAGGUAGAGGAAAUGAAAUUCGCUGUGAGAUAGGCAUGCGUCCCAUUAGCUAGUUGGUGAGGUAACGGCUCACCAAGGCGACGAUGGGUAGGGGAACUGAGAGGUUGAACCCCCACACUGGUACUGAGACACGGACCAGACUCCUACGGGAGGCAGCAGUGAGGAAUAUUGGUCAAUGGGCGAGAGCCUGAACCAGCCAAGUCGCGUGAAGGAUGACUGUCUUAUGGAUUGUAAACUUCUUUUAUACGGGAAUAACAAGAGUCACGUGUGACUCCCUGCAUGUACCGUAUGAAUAAGCAUCGGCUAACUCCGUG
rnacentral:rRNA from 1 species